CUGCUUGAUUCGGCAGCACAUAUAUUAAAAUUGGAAUGAUACAGAGAUUUGCAUGGCCCCUAUGCAACCAUGACACACAAAUUUGUGAAGUGUUCCAUAUUUAA
rnacentral:snRNA from 1 species